rnacentral:rRNA from 1 species
CUGCGGAAGAUCAUUGUCGAAACCUGCCCAGCAGAAAGACCCGCGAACAGGUUACAACGUUUGGGGGGNNANGGGUGCAACGCCCCUUGGAACCACCCACCCCGAGUGCGUGUGGGUUUUCCCCGCGUCCUUGGWCANUAACCAACCCCGGCGCGGAAUGCGUCAAGGAAACAUAAAGAAACGAGCUUCUKCUGCGGCCCCAGGUUUGGUGCUUGCCGCGGCAGGCGCGUCGUGUUUCGUUUAGGUCUAAAAACGACUCUCGGCAACGGAUAUCUCGGCUCUCGCAUCGAUGAAGAACGUAGCGAAAUGCGAUACUUGGUGUGAAUUGCAGAAUCCCGUGAACCAUCGAGUCUUUGAACGCAAGUUGCGCCCGAAGCCAUCCGGCCGAGGGCACGCCUGCCUUGGCGUCACACACCGUUGCCCCCCCAAGUCCCUUUGACACCAUCCACAUGGUGCACGGGGACCGCGAGGGGCGGAUGAUGGCCUCCCGUGGGCCUCGACCCGCGGUUGGUCUAAAUUUGGGUCCUCGGUCACGGUAGCCGUGGCAACAGGUGGUCGUCGAUGAUUCGGUGCCCUGCCACGUGCUCUGGACAAAAGCAUCGAGAGACUCCUACAAGCUUGACCCCGACGCACCCCACUUCGGUGCUUCCAACGCGACCCCAGGUCAGGCG